GACGAACCGUGCGAACGUUGUUCGGAUUCACUGGGCUUAAAGGGCGCGUAGGCGGGUUCUCAAGUCGAGGGUGAAAUCCCAUAGCUCAACUGUGGAAGCGCCUUCGAUACUGGGAGUCUGGAGGGAGGCAGGGGCGUGUGGAACUUCCGGUGGAGCGGUGAAAUGCGUAGAUAUCGGAAGGAACGCCGGUGGCGAAAGCGACACGCUGGACCUUUUCUGACGCUGAGGCGCGAAAGCCAGGGGAGCAAACGGG
rnacentral:rRNA from 1 species